CAGUAGCCGCGGGAAUACGAAGGGUGCAAGCGUUACUCGGAAUUACUGGGCGUAAAGCGUGCGUAGGUGGUGGUUCAAGUCCGUUGUGAAAGCCCUGGGCUCAACCAGGGAAUUGCAGUGGAUACUGGAUCACUAGAGUGUGGUAGAGGAUAGUGGAAUUUCCGGUGUAGCAGUGGAAUGCGUAGAGAUCGGAAGGAACAUCUGUGGCGAAGGCGACUAUCUGGGCCAACACUGACACUGAGGCACGAAAGCGUGGGGAGCAAACAGGAUUAGAUACCCCUGUAGUCCCUGUCUCUUAUAC
rnacentral:rRNA from 1 species